rnacentral:tRNA from 1 species
GAGCCAAUAGUAUAGUGGUAGUACACUUGUUUGACUCACAAGAAAUCUAGGUUCGAAUCCUGGUCGGCUCG